rnacentral:lncRNA from 1 species
CUGGAAAAAAAGAAUGAAUGACUAUAAUUUUGGCAAUUGCAGACCUAUUCAGUGUCAUUUGAUUGAAUGAUUGAUCAGGUGGUAGAAGAGGCUUGAGCAGGCCGACUUGCCCUUCAGGAAUACUGCCUGGCCUUCAGAUUCAACCUUAUUGCUUGACACUACUUGGCCUGCUCAGUGGCGCUAUCUCGGCUCACCACAACAUCUGCCUCCUGGGUUCAAGCGAUUCUCCUGCCUCAGCCUCCUGAGUAUCUGGGAUUACAGGAACCGGGCAAAUCUAACUCAGUCUUCCUUUGAUCCACACUGGAUGAGUGAACUGCAUAGAUGGGGUUUUGCUAUGCUGCCCAUGGCUGGUCUUGAACCCGUGAGCUCAAGUGAUCCAUCAUGUGCACCACUGCCCCAGGUGACUUUUUACAUAAAGUAUAAGAAAACAGAUUCCUCCUCUCAAUGCCUACAGGAAUCCCCUCUGAUCUUCUAACUGGUAAAGUACUAAGUUAAAAAAACCUCUUAGCCCUCUGUCUCUCCAAGUUGGGUAGUAUUAAAUAUAUGAAUCCAUUUUUAGCCUGGGCAGCAUGGUGAGACUCUGUCUCCAUACACACACACAC